GACCAUGCAAUGAUCACAAGAUCAAGAGAUUAGAGAUUAAUCGAGUAAAAGACAAACAACGUAUAAAUAUUGGCUAGGAUGAUUCGUGGCGCUACACAGGCAAAUUUGGUGGAGUCAGAUAAACAUUAUAAAGGAUUCAACUAAAGGAAGAUUCGAUAUAUCUGCAGGAGAAAAGGAUGUGGAACCGUCACAUGGGUUCAUUUGGGUCCAUGACUCCACGUGCACCAGACGUGGAUGGAUGGAUCGACGAGCGAUGAUCAAAGUUGGUUUGAGGUUGUACGGCUUGCCCGCCUUU
rnacentral:lncRNA from 1 species